rnacentral:rRNA from 1 species
UACGGAGGGGGCGAGCGUUAUUCGGAAUUAUUGGGCGUAAAGGGCGCGUAGGCGGCCCGGUAAGUCAAAGGUGAAAUCCCUCGGCUCAAUUGAGGAACUGCCUUUGAAACUGUCGGGCUUGAGGCCGGGAGGGGGUAGCGGAAUUCCCAGUGUAGCGGUGAAAUGCGUAGAUACUGGGAGGAACACCAGUGGCGAAGGCGGCGAUCUGGGUCGAUACUGACGCUGAGGUGCGAAAGCGUGGGGAGCAAACAGGG